GUUAUCGUUCACUGGAUGACUUCUUUUACCGUGUGGGCUCUGAGGCUCCAGGAAUACUUGGCUUGACAUCAGCAAAAUGACAGGAGAGCCGACUGCACCCCUACUGAACCCUUCUUAGGAUAAGAUCUGCUGGGAAUCUGCACAUCACCUCAAAUUAAAAGCAUCCUGGAGCAGACUUCAGUCUUGGUUUUCACUUGCUUUGUAACUCCGAAGAGUGAAUGAAAAUGUAACUGGCAAUGUUUUGCAGGAGAAGCAGCAGAGAGGAAGCUUUGAGCAACAGUGCUUCGAGGGGUGUGAGCAGGUACUCUGGUGUGUUGGCAAUGGAUGGAGUUACUGGCGCACAAGCAGGAAGUGACUGCUUCUGGAGCAUUUGACAGGACACUAACCCAAACCAGUGAGGCUGCGAGGGUGGCUCUCUCAGUCUUUGUAAGGCUGAGAGGUCUGCCCAGGCCCCUGAGGAAGGCUCAGGUCAUUUAAGGUGACUGCAUCUGCAAAACCAAAUAAUGAGACAUAUUUUAGGGUCACCAAAUGUUUAAGAACUCCCGAGUAUGAUUGCAGUGCAUAAGUUGAAAUAAAGCUUACCUGGAGCAGAACAACUAAUAAAAAGAGAUUUGAGGUGUCCCAGCAGUAUCCUAUCUCAGAUAAUCUCUUCCUAUGACAUUGAUUUCCUUGGGCAGAAGAUUAAGCACUUUUAAAUGAAUUAUAGUGAUUUUACUUUUAGCUGUCCUUGCAUAUUGCUGCAAUUAUCAGUGCAGUCUUUCAGUUACCCUACUGCCAUCACAGAUCUAAAAAGGUUAAUAACAAACUGCUAGGUCUGUGUAUGUUUGAUAUGUCAGUAUCCUGUAGAAUAAACACUUCUAAUAUUUAGUUGAAAUUAAUUUCAUACCCCUGCCCAAACAAGGUUGGCUCACCACUUAUCAAAGAUGUUUCAAGGUGAAUUUUAGAUGGGACUUGUAGUGGCUUUUUCCAUUGGGUAAAUUCCACUUCACUUGAAAAGGUUUCUCUAGUGGGUCAUUUAAUAGACAAAGGUCAAAGUGUGGUCAAGGUGUUUAAAAUCCAGGGCAGCAUUCAGACAGAGAUCUUAGCUACUGCCUAGGCUAAAUGUAUAAACAUAAGAACUUUAAUCCCAAAGAUUGAGCAAAGGAGCAUUUUUGUUAAUAUUUGUAGUAUCAGGACAUACUCCAUUUUUAGACUGUAUCCCUUGUAAGUGGAGGUGCCACCGUCUGCACUAAUGCUAGAAACAGCCCUAAGAGCCAUAUUGCUGGAGAUAUUCCUUCAGAUUAGUGUUCCUGCAAGACACUGCGUGGUGCCGUGUGUAUCUCACUUUGCAUCCAGCUCACAAAGGGUGGCCCAGCUAAGGUGCCUGGAAGACCUCAGCCACAUGAGGUGUUCUGACACUUUCUUACCAAGAGUUUCAAAGCUCUAUUAACUGACACUUCAAACUGAUUGAAUUUAAUGAGAGCAUUUCCACUGAUAUCAGGCUUUGAUUUAUACCCUUAAUACAUAAUGCAUGGUUUCAAAUGCGAGUCUUAAUAUCCUUAUCCAAUCUAUAUCUCUUCCAAGUUAAAUACAAAUAAACAGAGAGAAGGAUAAAAAAACCCACAGGACAAGUUUAAGAGAUUUCUCUAUGUUAGAGGCAAUUCUUGGAUAAAGCCAAGAAGCAGCAGGUAACAGGGUCUUUUCCUUAGGAAUUCGGAGUCUUUGGGACUCUUUGCAGCCAGAUCAUUAUACCGCUGAGUUAUUUUCUAUCUGAAAAGGCAACCAAACCUCUCAUGCAAUAGUUAGACUGGUAAGGUUAGUGGACUAAAAGCCUUGUAUGUUUAUGUUAAUUAAAUCUGUCAGCCACUGUAUUUUUCUUCUAUUUUUAGUCUGAUUUUCUAAGAAAAUGAGGCCUUUACAGUCACAGUGGCUGUCCAUCUGUUGGUCCCCCCCUGCUCCUCUCCAUAACUUUCAAACUGUCAGCAAAUUUCAGCCAAUCUGGAAAGAAAGGAAAGCAUCUCAAAGAUAAUUACCAUUUUUAUGACUUUCAUAAAGACUGGUGGAAAUUUUCCAAAGGCUUGAUUGAUGUCCCCUCAAGGUAAAGCUGAGAUUAUUCAUCCACUGCACUUUGUUUGCCCUGAUGUACGAAACCCAUCUGCCCUGUUGUUGUGUGAGUAGCUUUAAACCGGCUACAGCACGGGACAUUUCUUGCUCACCUCAGAGCAAUGGAAAAGUAAAGAUUUUGUGUGAGUCAGAGAUGUCACUGAAUACUUGCAGGGAGUUGGAGGGGAACUGCAAAGUAUCUGAAGGGAAACAGAAAUAAGCAAGACCACUCUGCUGAAUUGGUGAUGGCAACAAGCAAGAGAUACCUAAAAGCCCAAAGUGUAGCCCAUGACUGUCUCGGAGACCUUGCGAUAUCUCACGAAAUCCCUCUGGGGACUACUGCACCUACGUACCUGAGGAGACUGCGAUCCUGCAGCUUUCCAGAAUCUCAGAUCUGUUGGAGAUUUUUCUUCUUUCCUUCCUUUGAAGGAAAGGAUCCCAAGUGCUUUCCCAAACUGACCUAUGCAGCCUCUCACAAGGCCAGAAAUUAUUGACAUAAGAUGGGGAAGCAUUGGAACGAGUGUUGGAAAUGGCUUUCAGCCUGAGAAAGCAGCAUCCUGUGCUCAGUCCCACUGUUUCCACUGAGGUGUGAGCAGCCUUAACUGUCGAAGACUGAGGAACAUCUGUACACCCACAUCUCACCUGUCCUAUUCUCCCAGAGUCAUAUCCAAGGGGACAGGGAAGUGAGUAAGGCUCCCUACAUAGAACUGAGAGAGGGGAAGAAGCCAGUAUAUGCUGUAUUGGAAGCAGAGGAGGAAUGAAGGAAACGGGCAUGAACCCCUGCCUCAUCCUCACCACAUCUGCUCAGGAGAAGAGAGCCAUCACAGGUGGUCAGCAAACUGCACAUCUGUCAUGAACGUAACAUGUUCCUUCUCUUCUGGAACAAGCUAUAAGCACAAAGUAUUGUGGUCACCUCCUGUGAUCACACACGAGACCCCAUGAUUGCCCAUCUGUUGCUACUCGCCCAGUUGUUCUGCGGAGCUCCAUUGCCUGUCUCGGCAUCCCAUUGCAGAAAGGACUGGGGGAGGUACUUGCCAUGCUUCUCAUAUGAGAUACGAAUUGUGGUUUUACCUGUCCUGCUUAGUAUGAUUCACAUAUUGCCACAUAAAAAUUUAUUAUUUACUCUUGCUGAAAACCAAGGAUUUUGAUGCAGACUUCCUUGAUCCCUAGACCUGAACACCCAAAAGCACAGUGAGUUUUCACCAAGCAUUCCUUAAAGAACAACCCAAUAUGAGAACUCUUCCCGCAAAUUCCACAUGAAUGCCUGUAAUCAGCCAUGCCAAUUGACUGCAGACUGCAAACAGCCAUAGACAGGUUUCCAAACAGUUAAUUUCAAAUAGCUCAUUUUCUGUCAUCUCCACACAAGUUUCUGUCAUGUUGCAUUACAUGUAAACAACUCAGAAAUUUAAUGACAUGUCUUUCAGUCAAAACCUAGUAUGGCUUUUCAGUCUGAACAGAUUAAUUGUGGUUUGUAACAAUAUAAAAUGCAGUCUGAUUAGAGUUUCUAUUAUUCUUUGAGACAGAAUAUUGUAUGUGAAUAUAAAACCAAGUUUUCUGCUGGCAUGACUUUAUUGACUUCUGUGGAAAAAUAAAAUACUCAUGUAAAAUCCAUAGUACAUCAUCGUUCAUGUGCUGUUAUAGUAAAGAAAUUUUAUAAGAUCUGUAAAUUAGAUGUGCCAAAUCAUAUUCCAGACCCUAUGGAAAUGACAUUGUCAAUGAAGUGAGUCAAUAGGAAUAUUUUGCUUUGGAGGAGACACUUCUAUAUGAAUCUUUUAACACAUGAUAGUUUUGAAAGUUUUUCCUACUUUCAUAUUUUUUUCACUGUGUCUGUGUUCUCCUUGCUCUUAAAAACCACAUACUAUUCUCUCUAGUUUCAUUACUAUGUAAUCCAGACUUGUUUUUCUAUUCUUGCUACGGGGCAUUGCUCUGGUUUUGUAGCAGUCCUGUUGACACGAGCUCAGAAGCCCUGCACCACAAGUCCUAGUUGUCAACAGGAUUGAUGUAAAGAACUUCAGUGAAACCUCUAUGAAUACAUUCCUCACCGAGCAAUAUGCCCCUCAACACCUUAGGAGGGGAUUUUCCUCUUCCUUUUUAUCAUCUCCAACUUAUCUCCUUUUAUUUUUGUAAAGCAAAACAUCGCAGAAAAGACAUUCAAAUUAAUAACUAAAGCGUGGCUUGCUCGAGAGUUUUUUGAGGUGGGAUGGAAAAUCCCUCUGAGGCAGAUAUCCUAACGCAUAGCUGUUUGGCUCAGUCUCUCCCUUUGAAACUUUUGUGGUUUGUUUGUCUAUUGUUUUAUGUAAAACCAGUUUUCUUUACUUUAGUUGUCUUCGUUUGUUUUUCCAGUUUGCAGAAUGCCAUGAUUGGGGGUGUUCAGAGAAGUCAGAAGUUGUUUGCGGUGUUUUGAAUCCCCUGUAGCUGCAUGGGGGGGCUGAAAUUUUUUUAACAAGUGUGUGGGCUUGCCAAUGCAAUUCUACCCUGUCCACGCUGCUGGACUAAUAAUGAAGGUCACAAAUAUUGAACAGAAACUGCCAAUGUCUGGUUGUUUUAACUCUUGUUGAGUUAUCAGGAUUCCAACAGGGUUUCAAUUCUACAGGACUAGCACAUUUUAUAGAACAGGAGACAUUUUUAAUGUACUAUUUGCAAUAUUACAUUUCACUGUUACCAUACUGCCUGACACUGGGGACCAAAGCAAAAGUACUAGAUGGAAAAGCACAAGCUUUGAACUAAAGCUCUGUGUAUUGGCACAGGGGAACAUGUAGUUCACACCACCAGUGGGGCAUGUUCCAUAUGGAUCACAUUAAAACAGGCUGCAGAACUGUAGAUGAUUAAAUCAGCAUUAUAAAAUCCUGAAAAAUUGUAAAAAUGGGGGAAAAAUACAUUACCAAAAUAUUGAGUUAUUACUUGGAUAUAUGCAGAAAUGCUUUCUAUAGAAAUAGAUUCUUAAUCCUUGUCCAUUUCUGUAAGGCUUCCUCUUUAUUUUCUUUAUCCAAUCUGAGGGGACAGAGGCUUUUAGCUUUUGGUGGGAGAGUUUUUGAAAUAAGCUGCACAUAAUAGCAUGAUUGGAAGCACAAUUACUGUAAAUUCUUCCAUUUCUGGCUGUGAAGAUCCCUAAAGGCAGCAGGAACCACUAUUGCUGCCCAUGUAGUUUGUCCCUUGAGGGUUUUGGUUUUUUUAAUUUUAUAUAUCCAGCCUAUCUACUGUAACCCAUCACUCCUUAGGCAAGUACAUAGUGUUUCAAUCUCAGAUUGCAUGUUUGUACAUAGUUUUUGCUUUCCAUGGAAAACUUAAGGUGAAGUAUUACUUAAUUAUUCAAUAAUUUUAUGACAAAUUAAUUCCUCUUCUGGUGACUAUCCUUAUGUUGGUGAAUAUUAAGGCAUGGUACAAUAUAUACCUACCAUGAGAAUGUUUAGCUGCUCUUAAGUCAGAGGCUGUUAGGAAUAAAAAAAACAUCUGACAGAACCAGGUUUUAAUUUUUAAAAAAGGAACCCUUCAGGAAGAUGUUUUCGAGUCCUUAUGUCAAUGUCAGUUGAACAUCACUGAUCAUUUGUGUCACUGUAUAAACACCAUUCUUUUAUGACUGUGGUAGGCAGAACAUAAGGGUACUAGAAAGAAAAUACGGCUUUACAUUGGAUUUUCCUUAACUGAGCUUUCUCAAAGCAAUGUGGGUUGACUGCGUGGGCAAAAAAGAUAUAUAGCAGAGAAUGACAGAAAUCAAAACUAAGAGGGAUGCAUUUCCUUAGAGCUACUGCGGCUAUCUAUCUCCAAACUUCACUAGUCAAGAACUGUUCACUGUAGCAUAGCCCAGAUUUAAUCAGAAUAUUUAUUUGUUCACAAUCACUAGUCGUAAGUAUCAGAAACUCUGAAAACAAGAGAUUAUAUUUUCUUCUUUCUUCAGAGUCUAUUUUGUCUACUGAAUGAAGAGUAAAUCAUUACAGAAGCGCAGA